AUUGAACGCUGGCGGCAUGCCUUACACAUGCAAGUCGAACGGCAGCACGGGAGCAAUCCUGGUGGCGAGUGGCGAACGGGUGAGUAAUAUAUCGGAACGUGCCCAGUCGUGGGGGAUAACGUAGCGAAAGCUACGCUAAUACCGCAUACGAUCUAUGGAUGAAAGCGGGGGAUCGCAAGACCUCGCGCGAUUGGAGCGGCCGAUAUCAGAUUAGGUAGUUGGUGAGGUAAAGGCUCACCAAGCCGACGAUCUGUAGCUGGUCUGAGAGGACGACCAGCCACACUGGAACUGAGACACGGUCCAGACUCCUACGGGAGGCAGCAGUGGGGGAAUUUUUGGACAAUGGACGCAAGUCUGAUCCAGCCAUUCCGCGUGCAGGAUGAAGGCCCUCGGGUUGUAAACUGCUUUUGUACGGAACGAACGGUGAGCUCUAAUACAGUUUGCUAAUGACGGUACCGUAAGAAUAAGCACCGGCUAACUACGU
rnacentral:rRNA from 1 species